UCUUUUGGAGGGUUUCCGAGGAAAGUUUUCUCAUUCCUAAUAGAAAACCACAAGAAGAGAUUUUACAUCUCAAUGUCAUGCCUGUAAUCGCUGCAGCCAUUUUAAUUCCAAAUCUGAGAUUGAAACAAUCACUGAUGGCAGAGCGAAAAGAUGGAAAAAAGCAGGAUUCUGGGGCGACUUCAUGAGCUGCUAAACAACCAAUGCCUACCUUACCUCUUGACUUUGUCAAAUAUGAAGUGAUAUUUCCUUUAUUACCUAAGUCCUUCUGAGCUGGGAUUUUUCUUGGGGCCAGUAGCAUUCUGCUAUGCCAUGAAACUUAAGAACGUGAAGCAAUGGACUUGACUUCGCGAGCACUGGUGGAAGUGACCUGCAUGUCGCUUAUUGUCACUAUCACUUGUUUGACAAUUAUGGCUGGUAUUUAUUUCACCUUGUACUGUUGUUUCCUUUCUAUGUGACUAUUUUGAAUAUCUGACUAGUCUGGAAAUUUUCUGCGUCAAGGACAGAGAUGGACCCUUUACUUCUCUGUAGCCCCACCACACUUUACAUAAUCCAUACAUUUUUGUCAAUUAGUAACCCUCUCUUUAUUCCAUCCACAGAUUCUUUCAGAUGGUGACCAAAAUGCUCUCUCUUUUGGAGAUAAUAAUUAGUCUCAUCUUUAUUGGCUUUCUCGUCAGUGUGGAGGGAAUUACUGGAUGAAUGAAUAGGAACACGGUGGCCAUGUGGCCUGUUGCCCCCAAGUACUACUUGGAGACUAGCCUGGCAUGGAAAUGACCAGAUGUUUGAAGCUCAGCCACUGGUGAGUGAAAUAAAAAAGUUUGCUGUCACACGUUCCAUCUGCACGGACAGUUUCUGCGCUGCAAAGCCACUGGUGCUUAGGAUCUCACAUGGUUCUUAACCCCUUCCUCAAUUUGGAGUUGGAAGGCCCUGGAAGGCUAAUUCGACCACACAGACUUUUCCUCACACCUGGACAGCUGUGUGCCAUCUCCCAUUGCUUCCAAAGAAUGCAACAGUUGGUCUUGGUUUCGAGUUCACAGGGUGAUGUCUAGAGGCCUUAUGAUGGGAGCAAGAGGACAGAACAGUCAUCUGUGUAGGCAAGUAACCAGAGACCGAGGAGAACAGGGCCCUCUCCAUGGAUAUCACCUGGGUCAGGAUCAGCCCUCCCCAGCUCCGCUCUGGCUUGUGCAAGUCCCCUGAAGCUCAGACACUAGCCAGGGGAGACCAAGUGAGGAGGGAGAUGCAGGCUUGACUGAUC
rnacentral:lncRNA from 1 species